rnacentral:rRNA from 1 species
AUUGAACGCUGGCGGCAGGCCUAACACAUGCAAGUCGAGCGAGCGGCGGACGGGUGAGUAAUGUAUGGGGAACUGCCCGAUGGAGGGGGAUAACUACUGGAAACGGUGGCUAAUACCGCAUACUAUCAGAUGUGCCCAUAUGGGAUUAGCUAGUAGGUGGGGUAAAGGCUCACCUAGGCGACGAUCCCUAGCUGGUCUGAGAGGAUGACCAGCCACACUGGAACUGAGACACGGUCCAGACUCCUACGGGAGGCAGCAGUGGGGAAUAUUGCACAAUGGGCGAAAGCCUGAUGCAGCCAUGCCGCGUGUGUGAAGAAGGCCUUCGGGUUGUAAAGCACUUUCAGCGAGGAGGCGUUACUCGCAGAAGAAGCACCGGCUAACUCCGUGCCAGCAGCCGCGGUAAUUC